rnacentral:lncRNA from 1 species
GCCACUCCUAGCUAUGUAACCAAAUGAAAAGUACACAUGUGCUCCGAGAGACACACACGGGAAUAUUCAGAACCUUUUCUGUAAUAGCUAUAAACUGAAAGCAGCACAUGUCCAACAGGAAAAUGAAUAAACAAAUACAGCAUAUUCAUACAAUAGAAUCCUAUACAGAGCAACUAAAAUAACAGCUAGAGGCAACAACACGGAUGGAUCUUACAAGCCUGAUGUGGAACAAGAGAAGCCUGUCCAGAGACUAAGUGAAUGGAUUUAUGUGGUAUGCAAAAACAGGCAAAACCAAAUCAUAGUGUUUUGGGAGGUAUGCUUACAUAGUAAAGCUCUGAAGGAAAACAAAGAAAAGGCGACUAAAGAGAAUGACAACUUACACAAUGCAGAAUCCUGGAUUGGAUCCUAGAUCCAAUCAACGUGUAGGGAGAUUCUGUUGCUCAGGCUGGAGUGCAGUGGCAUGACCAUAGCUCACUGCAGCUGCAGGCUCAAGCAACCCUCCUGCCUCAGCCACCUGAAGAGCUAAGAUUACAGAAGCCUUUUUCGGCAAGGCACAGUGGCUCAUACCUGUAAUCCCAGCACUCUGGGAGGCUGAGGCAGGAGGAUAACUUGAACCCAGGAGUUUGAGAACAGCCUGGGCAACAUGGGGAGACCUCGUCUUUUAUUUUUUUCUAUUAUUUAUUUAUUUUUUAAAAUGCCUUUUUCCCAGAUGCAAACUUACUCAAAACCCAACACAAAUCAGAAAAGUAAACCUUCUCUGGCUAAAGCAGAGGCUAGGAUCCAGCUCAGCCUAUCUCAAACCCUUGUGAAUCAGUGCCAUAAAACUUGAGGACUGCAGAAAACAGUGUAAAAGCCAAAACGACUACUUUGCUGCUUCAUCAAGCAAAGAAACAAAGGAUCAGAGAGGGUGGGACCCUGACCAGGAUUACACAGAUGCUGAUCCCACUCCAAGUCUAGAACAUCAUUCACAUCUUGGACAGCAAAUUUCACAUACUGAUGAAGGCGCCGAAUUUCCUAUAAGAAAAAAAUUAAAAGUGUAUCAUGCGUAUAAUCCCAGCACUUUGGGAGGCUGAAGCAGAAGAAUCACAUGAGCCCAGGUGUUUGAGACCAGCCUGAGCAACACAUCAUUCUGCAAAAUCUACAAGUGGAUAGCGCACCACCACUACCUGGGCCCACUGUGUCCCUGCAAGAAAGACAACGUGAAAGAAGGUUCUUGUAUGCAAAGGUGCUUUGCUCCUUCUGACAGUUUUUCAAAGUCAAACAGAAAGUACUUCUGGUGAAUCACAAUUUAGUGUCAUCUGCAUGUUUUUCUUUCAUAACUGAGGAUGGAUUAUCAUUAAAUUGUAUAGAAGUUGUUUCAAGCAACAGGAAUAAAACAAAGAUGACAAAACAGGACAAGGCAGAAAAAGCCGCCUACACAUCAGGCAUACUCCAGUUGGAGGUUAACUGCAUGGUAUGUUUCCACAGACAGGGGUUGG